rnacentral:tRNA from 1 species
GCAGUGGUAGUUCAGUGGUAGAAUCCUCCCCUUCCACGAGAGCGAACCAGGUUCCAUUCCCGGCCAGUGCG